rfam:Rattus norvegicus chromosome 5, whole genome shotgun sequence.
GGGGAUUUAGCUCAGUGGUAGAGCGUUUGCCUACUAAGUGCAAGGUCCUGGGUUCAGUCCCCAGCUCCG